ensembl:rRNA 5S_rRNA 5S ribosomal RNA
GUCUAUGGUCAUAUCACCCUGAACACACUGGAUCUCAUCUGAUCUUGGAAGUUAAGCAGGGUCAGUCCUGGUUAGUAUGUGGAUGGAAGAAAUUCAAUAUUGUUGCAAGAUUUGAUAAAUAAACC